AUGGAGAGUUUGAUCCUGGCUCAGGAUGAACGCUGGCGGCGUGCCUAAUACAUGCAAGUCGAGCGAACGGACGAGAAGCUUGCUUCUCUGAUGUUAGCGGCGGACGGGUGAGUAACACGUGGAUAACCUACCUAUAAGACUGGGAUAACUUCGGGAAACCGGAGCUAAUACCGGAUAAUAUUUUGAACCGCAUGGUUCAAAAGUGAAAGACGGUCUUGCUGUCACUUAUAGAUGGAUCCGCGCUGCAUUAGCUAGUUGGUAAGGUAACGGCUUACCAAGGCAACGAUGCAUAGCCGACCUGAGAGGGUGAUCGGCCACACUGGAACUGAGACACGGUCCAGACUCCUACGGGAGGCAGCAGUAGGGAAUCUUCCGCAAUGGGCGAAAGCCUGACGGAGCAACGCCGCGUGAGUGAUGAAGGUCUUCGGAUCGUAAAACUCUGUUAUUAGGGAAGAACAUAUGUGUAAGUAACUGUGCACAUCUUGACGGUACCUAAUCAGAAAGCCACGGCUAACUACGUGCCAGCAGCCGCGGUAAUACGUAGGUGGCAAGCGUUAUCCGGAAUUAUUGGGCGUAAAGCGCGCGUAGGCGGUUUUUUAAGUCUGAUGUGAAAGCCCACGGCUCAACCGUGGAGGGUCAUUGGAAACUGGAAAACUUGAGUGCAGAAGAGGAAAGUGGAAUUCCAUGUGUAGCGGUGAAAUGCGCAGAGAUAUGGAGGAACACCAGUGGCGAAGGCGACUUUCUGGUCUGUAACUGACGCUGAUGUGCGAAAGCGUGGGGAUCAAACAGGAUUAGAUACCCUGGUAGUCCACGCCGUAAACGAUGAGUGCUAAGUGUUAGGGGGUUUCCGCCCCUUAGUGCUGCAGCUAACGCAUUAAGCACUCCGCCUGGGGAGUACGACCGCAAGGUUGAAACUCAAAGGAAUUGACGGGGACCCGCACAAGCGGUGGAGCAUGUGGUUUAAUUCGAAGCAACGCGAAGAACCUUACCAAAUCUUGACAUCCUUUGACAACUCUAGAGAUAGAGCNUUCCCCUUCGGGGGACAAAGUGACAGGUGGUGCAUGGUUGUCGUCAGCUCGUGUCGUGAGAUGUUGGGUUAAGUCCCGCAACGAGCGCAACCCUUAAGCUUAGUUGCCAUCAUUAAGUUGGGCACUCUAAGUUGACUGCCGGUGACAAACCGGAGGAAGGUGGGGAUGACGUCAAAUCAUCAUGCCCCUUAUGAUUUGGGCUACACACGUGCUACAAUGGACAAUACAAAGGGCAGCGAAACCGCGAGGUCAAGCAAAUCCCAUAAAGUUGUUCUCAGUUCGGAUUGUAGUCUGCAACUCGACUACAUGAAGCUGGAAUCGCUAGUAAUCGUAGAUCAGCAUGCUACGGUGAAUACGUUCCCGGGUCUUGUACACACCGCCCGUCACACCACGAGAGUUUGUAACACCCGAAGCCGGUGGAGUAACCUUUUAGGAGCUAGCCGUCGAAGGUGGGACAAAUGAUUGGGGUGAAGUCGUAACAAGGUAGCCGUAUCGGAAGGUGCGGCUGGAUCACCUCCUU
rnacentral:rRNA from 1 species